CACUAGGGCUGGUUGCCCCCCUAUGUUGACGGGCCCCUGCUCUCCACGGGGUCGCCCCUGGGUUCACGAGGAAGGGGGGUGGCAUGGCCUGUCAACCAGGCUGCAGCUCCUGUCUGACCCCACUGGCCCAGCCCUCUCUGUCUCUCUGUUAUUCACCCACCACUUCCUGUCACUGGGCCUCUUUGUCACCCCCUCUGUCUCUGUUUUCUGUGAAGCUAUCUUUCCCACUCGUUCAUCCAAGAAGGGGAAGGGAACUCCCGGGCACUGAUGCCUGCUGCUGUGUACAAGCCUACGGGCCUCCUGAGAAGGUGGAUUCAUAAGGUCCCCUCCCCUCACUGUCUAGUGGGGAUUGGGGAGCGGUUGUCACAAAUGGGAGUGAGAAACCCAGUGACAGAGAAGUGUGUGUGCUGUGCGGGCUCCCAGGAGGAACCUGUAGGAAUUAUUCCAGCCACGCAGAGGGGAAGGGUAAUUGAGGCAGAGGGAACAGCAUGUACAAAGGCUCAGAGGCUUAGAAAACCCUUGUAUGUUUUGCAGAAGAGGUGAGUGGGUGUGGGGCGUGUGUCUGUCUGAGUCUGUGCAGCAGGAGGACGGGAGUGGGUGGGUGAGGACAGAGGAGGGGACACAGAAAGGGACCCUCCUUGCAGCCACUUAGUGCUCAGCCUGGCCUCUCCCGUUGCGGAGCACAGGCUCUGGACGCGCAGGCUCAGCCGCCAUGGCUCACGGGCCCAGCCGCUCCGCGGCAUGUGGGAUCUUCCCGGACCGGGGCACGAACCCGUGUCCCCUGCGUCGGCAGGCGGACUCUCAACCACUGCGCCACCAGGGAAGCCUGCUAAUUACCUUCUUGGGUCGCCCUUUGCUACAUGUCUUGGGCUCAGAAAUGAGGCUGCGGAGACCAGGGGGCUCAGGUCUGGAGGGUGGGGUCGAGCCCAGGAGCACAGCCCAGGACAGCUUGAGACCCAAGGCGGAUUGUGGAGAGCUCAGCUGCACACUGACCCCUGCGAGGGAGGAAUGUGGGCAGCCCUGAACUUGGGCAGCCCCUGAGCCCCUCUGCAGCUUCUCCAGGCCUGCGCUGGGCCUGCUGGUCUGACCUCUGCAUCAGCAGGAGAAAAGGGGAUGAGGGGUUUGGGAAAGCCGGGCAUGGGUAUGUCAGACCCUCUGCUCCCUGGCUGGUAGUGGGAGCUGAGGGCCACUCCCAGUGGGGAAGGCAGGGCCCGGAGGCCUGGCGGACCUGCCCUUCUUCAGAGGGAAGCCUCCCACGCCUUCGGUUUUGCCAGUGAAUGGCCUAGAGUAUCUGUUCCUGGUGGCCUCCAGGUUCUUCCUGAGGCUCCCCCAAACCCACACCGAUGCCGACGCUGUUCUAGAUCCUUCUAAAGCAUCACUCGGCUCAGCUCAAAGCUGGAAACACCAGGGUCUUUGUAAACAGUUAUUGAUACAGCAUGGCUCCGUGGCCAAGUCAGUGACGGCCCCUGAUGAGGCCAGUUCUCCUGAGUUGUAGGUGUAACUGAAACCCACCAGGAGCUUCCACACUGCCUUGGAAGGGGAGCCAGGGGAUACCUGCAUCCCAGAGCAAACCUAAAGUCUCAUAGGAGACCGUAGCACUGAGUGAUGGAGAAUAGGGAAGCUGGCCUCCUCUGGAGACUGGCGUCCUGGCCACCCAGAAGACCUCCAGGGAGGAGGCUCAUAUGCCGAGGAGUCUGUGAAGGGCAGUGGAGUAGCUGGAGGACCGACCAGGACUGCAGCCAGGGCCUGGCCCCCUGGGCUUCCCGCAUCACCGCAUCAGGAGAACAGCGGCACCGGCUCGUUCUUCCUGGAAGAUGCGUGAGUCCGUUCCCUGCUGCCAGGUACCCAGAAACCUCCUCUCCUCCCAGGUGGAGGGCCACCUGCUCAAACGGCCUUGUAGUUUCCUUUGCACCUUAGCCAGGCACGCAGAUGGAUGGAAUGAUGGGAUCAGGGUGCAUCCAGGUCGUGUUGAGUCAGUCCACCCAGCAAGGCACCUGACCCCUGGCACGUGCUCCCAGACACUGGGUGAGGAGGUGCUAAGGCCCUGUGUGUGGAGGUGCUAAGGUCCUGUGUGUACACGGUUCUCAGCAGCUGUCGCCCAGCUCCUGAGAAACACAGGAAAGGAAUUUGUCCUUUUGGGAAAGUCCACUUGUCUCUCUCCAUGUUAGGUCUCAUCUAUAGCUCUUAGCUUCUCCAUAAAGAGGAUACUGUCCCAACUAGCCGCAAAGUAAAAGAGGCUCUGUAUUUAGAAGCGUGACAAAUGCAUCAGGAACCAGACCAGAAUAGGGAAACCCUGACUGUCUACAGAUUCCAACUUUAAUAGUAAGGCUGUGGAGUUACACAAACCUGUGUUAAAACAUGUAAUUCUCAUGGGUUUCACCUCCCCUUGUGGAUCAAUUUGGAAAAACCAAAAUAUAUAAUUUUAAAAAACUAAAACUCAUUCUGAUAAUCCCCGCAAUACGUAAAUGAGAGAGAAGAAUAGACAGGCUUCCAAUCCCUGGUUAGAAAGCUGCUUAAUUACGUGCGCAUCUUAUAAUGAAGUCUCUUACAGCUAAAAUUAGACUUUGAGUGCGUGAAUAUGCGAUAAUGUUUGCAUACCAGAGUGCACUUUUUUCCCUUAAAAGUAGCAGGGGCUACUUGGUUCUUAGGGGGUCCCAAGAGGGGAGAUGGAAGUGCUGGGAUUGAUCUUUGUGGUUGCAAGAAUUCUUGGGGCUGAAGUUUGAUUUCUUUUGGCUGGAAACUUGUUGGAGGUGUUUAACAUGUGAUGCCUCCGAAGUAGUUCAUUAGCGUUUAGGGAGAAAUUGAUUGGUCUGAACCCACGUUGAUGACCACUCAGUAUUUGCCGAGUUGGCCUGAACAAGGUUGUUGGUUGCAUCCUCAAUGUUCAUUCCCCCGUUUCCUUUCCCAGCAGACCCUGAUGUCCGUUGGCAGGGGUGGGUUAUGAUGUGCUGGAGCUGUCUCUACCGUCACUUCUGGGGUGGGACGUGUGACCUAGACUGAGCCCACAGCACCCCCCAUCUCUCUCGCUACAGUGAUGUGUUCAGGUAUGGUCAUAUGAGCUAAGGCAAUGGAACCAGAUGGAAUUUCAAGACUUUGCACUCUGCUGGAUGUGAACGAGGAAGUAGGUAAUCCUGGGUCUUGAUGGUAACUGUCUUGCGAUCCUGGGGCAGGAACCACUCCCAGCAUGAAGCUGAUAACUGAAGGGAGAGUCGGGAGGGAAGGAAACCAGGUCCUUGGUGACACUGUUAAGUACAGGAUCUAGCUUUGCCUGUGAUUGGCCCUGCCCGUGGAUGGUUCUGUUACAUGAGCCAAUAUAGUCCCUUUAUUGUUUAAGUUGGGCUGAGUCUGGUUUCUGUUACUUACAACCCAGAGCUGUGUACAAAGGGCUUGGGUUGAGAGGCCCUGGGGUUCUGACAUUCUCUGUCUCUAUGGCUGAAGUAGAUGAAGAUGGAGGCUCGGACAAGAAUGAGCUGUCCAAUUAGGAAGUUGCUUUUUACGGGAAUGGGGGGGGUGGGUGCGAAAUCCUCAGUAGGAAGCUGUGCUCUGUCAGCCAGGACAAGUAGCAUCUUUAAGUCAGUACCUUAUGAGGUCACCUGCAUAUCCUGAGAAAAUCAUUCCUCUUGGUCGCCCAGCCCACACUAGAAGCUGUCUCCUUUAAUCCUUAACCAAUGCUAUGUGAUUAUCUCCACUUGACAGAUGAGAGGACUGGGAUAGUAAUCGGUGAUGAUUAUAAAACCGUGGUCCUGUUCUAUUUACCGUAACUCCUUUCAUGGAGAAUAUGAUGCCGUGUUGGAAGGAAUGCUUUGACAAGUUACUUGGAUUGAGCGUGAGACCCCCCCCUUUGAGGGACAUGUUCAGGUGUGCGCUCCAGUUGCUGACAAACAGCUGCCCCUUUGAAUCACAUGCCAGCAUCCUGACCACUACAGGUGACAAGAGCCUGGAUGCCUGAGAAGCCAAUCUUCGUCAGGUCUCCUCCAAAAUGGAAAAGAGGAGAAAUAAAAUCCUCUUAAC